GAUGAACGCUAGCGGGAGGCUUAACACAUGCAAGUCGAGGGGUAAAUGGUAGCAAUACUAUGAGACCGGCGGACGGGUGCGUAACGCGUAUGCAACAUACCUUGUGCAGGGGGAUAGCCCGUGGAAACGCGGAUUAAUAUUCCAUAGUCCAGCUAUAUCGCAUGGUAUAGUUGGUAAAGAUUUAUCGGCACAAGUUUGGCAUGCGUCUGAUUAGCUUGUUGGUAGGGUAACGGCCUACCAAGGCUACGAUCAGUAGGGGUUCUGAGAGGAUUAACCCCCACACUGGUACUGAGACACGGACCAGACUCCUACGGGAGGCAGCAGUGAGGAAUAUUGGUCAAUGGGCGGAAGCCUGAACCAGCCAUCCCGCGUGAAGGAAGACAGCCUUACGGGUUGUAAACUUCUUUUCUGUCAGAAGAAUAAGCUUGUCGAGACGAGUGAUGCCGGUAUGACAGGAAUAAGCAUCGGCUAACUCCGUGCCAGCAGCCGCGGUAAAACG
rnacentral:rRNA from 1 species